UUGGGCUGUUAUCAGAGGUUCUUAUAUCGAACCCAGCUGGAGGCAAAUCAGUUAGUGAAUUUCUGAUAUUUACUUCAUCUCUCUCAAAUUCUCUUCUUCUUCUUACCUAAAUUCUACUUCAUCUUCCUCACUUAUAUUUCUUCUCUAUUCUCAGGUCAUCCACCAUUGCCGACUAUCUCAAGCUUGUGGUUCUAAGCUUGUAACCUUGUAACAGUUCUAUUACAGUGAUAGUUUGUAAUCUUUCAGUACAAUCAAUAAAAUUCCCAAUUUCCUUUGUUUACAUUGUGUUUGCAAUUACAUACAAUUAAGUAUCAUUAUAAUGUGGUAUAAGAGAAAAUCCUGGCCCAAAAAUGACUAUAAUAGAGACUAGAUUUAAGUCCAAUGAAGAACUAGUAAAGAAAAUUGAUGCUCAGCUUAAAACCGUAUAGCUGAGUCUAGUAAGAAGUUUGAGUCUCAUGACUCGAAGCUCGAUGAUUUGGGAAGGAAGAUGGAACUCUUGAUGGAGAAACGUAUUCCCAAUCAAGAUGGGAUACUGGGUUGUGCUUCCAGAGAUGCUCAACCAUUGGAUGGUUCGACCAGUAGGAACAGAGCAGGAGAACAAAAUGACAAUCAAUGGGGUCGAAAUCAAGGAGAUAACCGCCAUCCUCAUCUGGAUUUCCUUUCUUUGAUGGUGUUGACCCUUGUUCAUGAUUGAGAAAAGCCAAUAGAUACUUCCAUUAUCAUCACAUAUCAGAUCCUGAGCAGAAACAAGAAAUUGCAGUGCUCUAUCUUCAAGAGCUUUAAAUCUUGAGGGACCUGUGUGUGUGCAUCUAUUAGAUUCAUGGACAAAGAAGCAAAUUUUUCUUCAAUGGCCCCACCAGCUUUCGAUGGAGAAAAUUAUCAGAUCUGGGAUGUUAGAAUGCAGACAUAUCUGGAAGCUUUGGAUCUCUGGGAGGCUGUAGAAGAUGAAUACGAGAUUACUCCCUUUCCAAACAAUCCUGUUUCUAUUAUGAUUGGGUUGCAUUAGGGACCAGCUCUUAGCCCGUUUCUAUUCGCCCUGGUGAUGGAUGAAUUGACGCGACAAAUACAAGGUAAGGUGCCUUGGUGUAUGUUGUUCGCGGAUGACAUAGUCCUGAUUGACGAGACUCGCAACGGAGUUAACGAUAAGCUAGAGGGCUGGAGACAGACGUUGGAGUCUAAAGGAUUUAAAUUGAGUAGGACCAAGACAGAAUACUUGGAGUGCAAGUUCCGUGGCCUACCACGUGAGGCUGACGAGGAAGUGAGGCUUGGUACCCAGGCCAUUCAAAAGAAAGGAAGUUUCAAGUAUCUUGGGUCUAUUAUACAGGGAGAUGGGGAUAUCGACGAUGAUGUUUCACAUCGUAUUGGUGCAGGGUGGAUGAAAUGGAGGCUCACCUCCGGAGUGCUGUGUGAUAAGAAAGUGCCACCAAAACUUAAAGGCAAGUUCUACAAAAUGGUGGUUAGACCGACCUUAUUGUACAGGGCGGAGUAUUGGCCAGUCAAGAAAUCUCACGUUCAGAAGAUGAAAGUCGCGGAAAUGCGAAUGCUGCGGUGGAUGUGUGGGCACACUAGGAGGGAUAGAAUUAGGAAUAAAGAUAUUUGAGACAAUGUGGGAGUGGCAUCGGUGGAAGUCAAGAUGCGGGAAGCGAGGCUGAGAUGGUUUGGGCAUGUGAAGAGGAGAGACACAGAUGCCCCAGUGCGGAGGUGUGAGAGAUUGGCUAUGGACGGUUUCAGGAGAGGAAAAGGGAGGUCGAAGAAGUAUUGGGGAGAGGUAAUUAGACAGGAUAUGGCACAGUUUCAGCUCACCGAGGACAUGACCUUAGAUAGGAGGUUGUGGAGGACUCAGAUUAGGAUAGAAGGCUAGGUGGCUAAUCCUUUCACCAUAGUAGUUGUAGUUUUGCUCAUUUGUUUAUUGUCAUUUGAUUUCUGCAUUUGAUUGCUGCUUAUAUUUGUUGGGCCGUUGUACUUUGGUUAUCUUAGUUAUCUAUAGUAGUUAAUGCUCCUUUCUUUC